UACGUAGGUGGCAAGCGUUGUCCGGAAUUAUUGGGCGUAAAGCGCGCGCAGGCGGUUCUUUAAGUCUGAUGUGAAAGCCCACGGCUCAACCGUGGAGGGUCAUUGAAACUGGAGAACUUGAGUACAGAAGAGGAAAGCGGAAUUCCACGUGUAGCGGUGAAAUGCGUAGAGAUGUGGAGGAACACCAGUGGCGAAGGCGGCUUCUGGUCUGUAACUGACGCUGAGGCGCGAAAGCGUGGGAGCAAACGGG
rnacentral:rRNA from 1 species